GACGAACGCUGGCGGCGUGCUUAACACAUGCAAGUCGAACGGAAAGGCCCUGCUUUUGUGGGGUGCUCGAGUGGCGAACGGGUGAGUAACACGUGAGUAACCUGCCCUUGACUUUGGGAUAACUUCAGGAAACUGGGGCUAAUACCGGAUAGGAGCUCCUGCUGCAUGGUGGGGGUUGGAAAGUUUCGGCGGUUGGGGAUGGACUCGCGGCUUAUCAGCUUGCUGGUGGGGUAGUGGCUUACCAAGGCUUUGACGGGUAGCCGGCCUGAGAGGGUGACCGGCCACAUUGGGACUGAGAUACGGCCCAGACUCCUACGGGAGGCAGCAGUGGGGAAUAUUGCACAAUGGGCGGAAGCCUGAUGCAGCAACGCCGCGUGCGGGAUGACGGCCUUCGGGUUGUAAACCGCUUUCGCCUGUGACGAAGCGUGAGUGACAGUAAUGGGUAAAGAAGCACCGGCUAACUACGUG
rnacentral:rRNA from 1 species